rnacentral:rRNA from 1 species
UACGUAGGGUGCAAGCGUUAUCCGGAUUUAUUGGGUUUAAAGGGUGCGUAGGCGGCCUAUUAAGUCAGGGGUGAAAGACGGUAGCUUAACUAUCGCAGUGCCUUUGAUACUGAUGGGCUUGAAUGUACUUGAGGUAGGCGGUAUGUGACAAGUAGCGGUGAAAUGCAUAGAUAUGUCACAGAACACCAAUUGCGAAGGCAGCUUACUAAAGUAUGAUUGACGCUGAGGCACGAAAGCGUGGGGAGCAAACAGG